UCAGGUGGUUAUUGCGGCGGGGUUCCACCUCUUCCCAUUCCGAACAGAGAAGUUAAGCCCGCCUGCGCCGAUGGUACUGCAAUGCAAUGCGGGAGAGUAGGUGGCCGCCUCCU
rnacentral:rRNA from 2 species